rnacentral:lncRNA from 1 species
AACCUGCUUAAAAUUGUUCAUAACAAACUCAAAACCAUUUUGUCCGCGAAUUUUCUCCGUGUAAUUACCAUCAAUUCUCUCAAUUAGAUUCUUUAUUUUUCCUACUAAAGAAAACCAUUCAUUCUCUACAUUUCCUAUAGCACUUGAUACUAAGAAAAAAUUUCCAAAUGAAUUUUCAGGCAAGGGUGGAACUAUUUUCUUCCUUACAUUUACUGGCAAAACUGCAAUAGAAUUACACCCUUUUGCAGCCAUAAAACAUUUCCAUAACAAAGCUGUAAUUACUUCAACGCGAGUUACACGUUCCUUAUUAUUAUAACCUGAAUUAAUUACCUUACUCUUCAUUUUUACUAUAUUUGAAGCAGUAAAAAUGAAUCUUUUUACAACUAGUUUUUCAACUACAGGCUCAACUGCUGCACAUUUUUCACUUGGCAUGACAUUAUGAACUAUUUCUCUAGGUGGAAAAAAUGAUGACAAAGAGACGAAAUUAGAGUCAUUUAUUACCUUUUUGUUGCUUCUUAAUUCUUCACUUGUAUUGCACCAAUUCUUGAUAAAUGUACAAAGACUAGAAGCAUCACCAAUUUUAUGUGAAAUACUUACACUAAUAGCCAUUCCACCACAUGUAAAUAAGUUAACUUGAAUGGCUAAAAGUUCUUGAAAAUUUGAUAUUGUUCCAUCUGAAUUUUAAGGUGUGAGUUGGAUCAAUUCAUUGGAUUUUUGGAUUCUUGAGUUGUUCCAUCUGAAUUAUAAGGUGUGAGUUGGAUCAAUUCAUUGGAUUUUGGAAAUUUGAUGAUGUCAAAAAGUGAAAUAUCCACUUUAACUUCUGCAUAAUAAACACCUUGAUCAUUGCAAUCAAUUGAAUAUUGAGAACUCAUUCUACCAGCCAAAGGGUAAAAUUGAGUUAAAAUUUGUGAAAGUGAAAUUUUUAAAUGGCUACAUAUUUCUGAUUGUGUGAUGGUUUCAUUCUUGUUGUAGAAAAGAAUGAGUGGAAUAGAUGAAUGAGGAAUUAUUUCAUCUAUAAAAGAGAUUUUGUGGUUUCUAUGUUUAAGUGGAGUUGGAGAAGAUGGCUUGAUAUGUUCUUCACAAAGCUUUUCAAUCUUCAUUUUUUCUUCUUGAUAUUGUUAGAGAAGAAUGUAGC